CUGGAGCUCCAGAGUAACUUGGUUUUCUUUUCUGUUUAGGAGGUUUUGGUACAAACAAAGCCCGACGUUUUCUCCGUCUGCUGACGAACCCAGCAGAAACUCCCAGCAGAAACUCCCAGCAGAAACUCUCAGUUUUUGAAAACUGUAAGAACCAAGUUCUCUCCAUCCUGUGGCCAUCCAGCUGAGGUUCUGCUGUCAGGAUUUCCCCGUCAGCUGGUCCAGCAGCCUGACCGGAUCCAGGAAGUUAAGGUCCUGGGAGGAAACGCUUCCAACCCUCCACAUCCUGAUCAAGAGGAGAAUCCACGGAGAAUCACUUCCAGCUUCCUGGGCAUGCUGGUUCCACCUUGCGGUGUUAACGGACAGCGUGUUUUUGAAACCAGGGGCCCGGGCCGGUGACAGGAGCCCCGGGCCCUGCGGACAGCAGCUGGAGGAAGCAGAAGUUUGGCUCCCAACUUCACUCGAGUCCUGCUGGGCCACGACGACGAGGCCCGGUAAACUGGCGGUUUAUCCCUGCGGAGGUGGGGAUGACUGAGCAGGAAUAUGUCCGACACACUGUCCCCGUGUGUUUGAGACAGGAAGCAGACAGAAAUUAAUCCACAGCUGUCAUUUUGUCGCGCUGCAGACCCCGGUUGAUGGUAGCUUCGCUGGCUGUUGAGCCACAGAUGAGUCAAGUUUGCGUUUAGCGAGCAGAACUAACCGGAAGUCUGCUGCUUUACUUGAAAAACAUAAAAGCACGACGUCUGGCUUUCAAAGCAUUUUCAUAGUUUUGUUUUAUUUUGAAGACAACCCACCGGAAGUGGCUGUUUUUAGUUUAGUUCCAUUGAUUGAUUUUAACCCCUCACCUCAUUGGAUGAGUCCAACAAAAACACGAGUCAGAAGUGAUGUCAGAGCACGACAGAAAGACAAAUCUAAUAGUUCUGAUCUGGACGACUGUUAGUUCCGUUUUUAUUUUAUUAAGC